GCCGCCCCUCAGCGCGGCUCCACAGCGCGGGGAAGCGGCCGAACCAGCCGCGGCCACCGCUCCCUGCCCGGCCACCCUUUGCACUUGUGCUCACGGAAAACUCGUCCCUCGCUGCCAGCCGCCGGUGUUCCCGGUGCCACGGCGCAGAGACGGCCUGCAGCAAGCCUGGGAAUGGGAAUGCCGGGGGAAAACGGGGCUCGGCUGCUUCUGCUGCUGCCAGGAGUCGGGACAAGGAGCAGCGGGUGCCAGCUGCAGCGAGGGGGAAACCUGGUUAAAUAUUAGGAGAGUUUUUAAGCUGAGAGUGAUCGGGCACAGGGCAUGGAGACCUUGUGGUCUCUCGUAUAGCCCUGGAGACGCUAAAAUUUCGACUGGGGAAACGUGGAGACACCCGACUAAUGCUGGAGAGCUUACAAAGAGAUUGAUGAUGCCUUCAGCAUUACAUCCCUCUGGGAUUCAGGAGCCCUGGGAAAAAAAAAAAAAUUGCACCAGGAUAGCUGCUGCUCUGCAUUUGCAAAGAGGCUGUUGCCACAGCUCUGCCCUGGCUCUAUCAGCAGUGAUAACCCUCACUAACAAGGUCCCUCCACCCAGCUAUUCCAGCAAAAGGUGUCUGGGAAACACAUCUCCAAAGUUUUGGAGCUGAAGAAAAGGAAGCACGGGCGGUGAUCCGCGGCAGGAGUGUUGGAUACAAAGCUGAUCCAGGGUGGGAAGGAGGUUCUUCGUGUUCACCCAUCUUCUCCCCAAAGAAACCCAUCCUGGGAUUUUAUCACCUUCUUUUCAGCAAGAUCUCUCCUGUCCCCAGUGAGACACUCAGAAAAGGGCACACAGAAAGGACCCCAACUCUCAUCCAAGUCCAAAAACCACCAAAUUUAAUUAAAAAACCCUGAGCAGCACAAAAAUGUCCCCGUAUCUCCCAGUCCUGUCUCUGCCCACAAGCUGUCUGGGGUCUGAAAAAUGCACACAAACAAAAGUUUUCAGACUUGUAAGUGACCCAGACAACACCCAGCAGGCCCAGAAGGGCAGUGACCAGGAUAUUUGGGAUUUUACAAUGCCAUUUAUUACCCUGUACAAAGUACUUCCCAGGGGCUGAGAAAAAUCAUAGGAGCUUAUCACUGGGGGUUGUUGAAGUUACUGGCCCCUGCCCUCUCAUGUACAAAAGUGUGAACAUUCACAGGGAAAACAGGGAGAUUCCAUGUAGAAACUGCAAGGUCUGGCCAGAAGUCAAAGUAUUUCAGUUCUGCCUUCUCAGAGAUAGAUCCACACCUUAAUCAGGCUCAGAACCUACACUAGGAAGGGAGCAAAAGAAGUUUUCAGAAUGUUUGCAGCUGCACAGGCAAACAUGCACCCAGAAUUAUUUCUUUGAGUCUCCUGUCAAGGAGAUAUAAGACAUAAUUAUAUGACUGCAAAUAAACAAAACUGUACAAAGCUGCAUCUUUGUUACAGCAAAGGUGGCUCUUUCCUGUUACCCUGGUUUUUCUGAGUUUCUUUACUCGCCUUUUGAUUUUCAUAAAUGGAGUCAGAUCUUUUAGUUACUGUAGAACAUUAGAGCAGUUUUUCUACCUUUCCCACAGAAGUAAUAUAAACAAAUCUUUUGUUUUUCAUUCUUUGUCCUUUGUUUGCAUAUUUCUAACCUGAAAACAAUUGUAACUGACAAUUCGUCUGGCCACUGAGGCUGAGGGGUGGAAACCCCAAAAAGCCAAUCUUCUGCUAGACCCACAAAUGUAUAAA